ACCAAUCCACUCAAAGAAAUAAUAAAUCUUUACUAUCGACAAAGCAAAGCAAUCCAAGUAAAAAUGAAUAAAGAAUAAAGAAAACCUACACAUUUCCCUCGCCAUUCUCCUUCUUCAUCAUCUUCUAGAAAACACUUCAAUAUUCCAGUUCUUGUUUCUAUCUACGCUGUAUGUAAGCAAUAUGCCAUGUAUAUACAUACCUAACAUACCUGUAAGGCAAAAAAAAGAAAAAGAGAAAAAGGCAAUCUAAGGCUACGUCCAGCAUGAGAGAGAGGGAAGCCCUGUGAGACUUGAAGGAAACAAUCUGAGCC
rnacentral:sRNA from 1 species